rnacentral:rRNA from 1 species
CGGAGGAUCCAAGCGUUAUCCGGAAUCAUUGGGUUUAAAGGGUCCGUAGGCGGGUUUAUAAGUCAGUGGUGAAAGCCCAUCGCUCAACGAUGGAACGGCCAUUGAUACUGUAGAUCUUGAAUUAUUAGGAAGUAACUAGAAUAUGUAGUGUAGCGGUGAAAUGCUUAGAGAUUACAUGGAAUACCAGUUGCGAAGGCAGGUUACUACUAAUGGAUUGACGCUGAUGGACGAAAGCGUGGGUAGCGAACAGGAUUAGAUACCCUGGUAGUCCACGCCGUAAACGAUGGAUACUAGCUGUUCGGAGCAAUCUGAGUGGCUAAGCGAAAGUGAUAAGUAUCCCACCUGGGGAGUACGUUCGCAAGAAUG